rnacentral:rRNA from 1 species
AACGAACGCUGGCGGCAUGCCUAACACAUGCAAGUCGAACGAGACCUUCGGGUCUAGUGGCGCACGGGUGCGUAACGCGUGGGAACCUGCCCUUAUGUUCGGAAUAACUCCCCGAAAGGGGUGCUAAUACCGGAUAAUGUCUACGGACCAAAGAUUUAUCGCCUUUGGAUGGGCCCGCGUUGGAUUAGCUAGUUGGUAGGGUAAAAGCAUACCAAGGCGACGAUCCAUAGCUGGUCUGAGAGGAUGAUCAGCCACACUGGGACUGAGACACGGCCCAGACUCCUACGGGAGGCAGCAGUGGGGAAUAUUGGACAAUGGGCGAAAGGCUGAUCCAGCAAUGCCGCGUGAGUGAUGAAGGCCUUAGGGUUGUAAAGCUCUUUUACCCGGGAUGAUAAUGACAGUACCGGGAGAAUAAGCUCCGGCUAACUCCGUG